rnacentral:rRNA from 1 species
UACGAAGGGGGCUAGCGUUGCUCGGAAUCACUGGGCGUAAAGCGCACGUAGGCGGACUCUUAAGUCGGUGGUGAAGUCCUGGAGCUCAACUCCAGAACUGCCUUCGAUACUGAGAGUCUUGAGUCCGGGAGAGGUGAGUGGAACUGCGAGUGUAGAGGUGAAAUUCGUAGAUAUUCGCAAGAACACCAGUGGCGAAGGCGGACUCACUGGCCCGGUACGUGACGACUGACGGCACGGAAAGCGAUGG